GGAGGAAUACCCAAGUGGCUGAAGGGGUUGGCUUGGAAAGCUAAUAGGCCCUUAACGGGGCGCAGGAGUUCGAAUCUCCUUUCCUCCGCCA
rnacentral:tRNA from 1 species